rnacentral:tRNA from 1 species
GCCCUCAUGGUGUAACGGUUAGCACACUCGGCGCAUAUUCGAGAGGUCGAGGUUCGAAUCCCAGCGAGGGUA